GACCUGGUGGUGAAAGGCAUCACAUCCACAUUGCUUAAGAUUUGCUGAAAUAGUGUAUUUGUGAGAGUUCCCGGUUCGAGUCCGGGCCAGGUCA